GACAGCUAUCUCCUUCAGCCAGGGCUCUUCUUGUGUGGGACUUUGGCUUACUACCUCACGUUGUAUAAGGAACAAAAAUGUGACAAAGGAUACUUCAAAAUGAGAAGAUCCUGCCAUGGAAAAGAUGACUGGGUGGACAUGAAGUGGAAAGGAGGGGAAAUAACUCACCAUGCAGCAGGACACCUUCAGCUGUGGGGUCUUUGUAAUGCAGGUUUGAUAGUUAUAUUUUCAAUAAUGAAUGGUUAGCUGUUAUGUGACAAUUAGGUCCAUUUUUUUUAGAGUAGAUGGCCAAGGAAGUUGCACAGAACUUCCCCAACAUCCCCUCCCAAAUUGACAUAGAACCUUCACAAAAACACAUGGAGCAACUGCAAAAAGAAAAUGGCUGAAGGAUAUACUAAAAAUGGCUGAGUUCAACAAAGCCAACAACUGCUUCAUGUGUGCCACUGAUAAAGAACCUGGAUGUGGGCCAAAGACUGAUUGGGUUAGUAACUUUAUUUAACAUGUUUAUAAUCUCUUGACAACAGUGACGGCAUGUAUGACAAUUUAUGAUACAACACAAUGGAUGGCUAAUUCGUCAUACUGCAUUGAUAUUUGAUAAUAUUUAU